rnacentral:rRNA from 1 species
UACGUAGGGGGCAAGCGUUGUCCGGAAUCAUUGGGCGUAAAGAGCGUGUGGGCGGCCCGGUAAGUCCGCUGUGAAAGUCCAGGGCUCAACCCUGGGAUGCCGGUGGAUACUGUCGGGCUCGAGUCCGGAAGAGGAGUGUGGAAUUCCUGGUGUAGCGGUGAAAUGCGCAGAUAUCAGGAGGAACACCAAUGGCGAAGGCAGCACUCUGGGACGUGACUGACGCUGAGACGCGAAAGCGUGGGGAGCGAACAGG